GACCUGGUGGUGAAAUGAAUCACACCUGCUUUGCCUGAGGCAUAACUAUGUAGGACAUGUAUUUGUGGGAAUCCCUGGUUCGAAUCCGGGCCAGGUCA